CCAACCCCCCAACGUAGGUCCCCCCCGAUCUCCAACUAUAGAUGAAGCCGAAUUUCAUCGGUGUUCCUUUAAAACCACCACCCCAUUUCCUCCCAACCCUCCGCUGACUAUCCCUAGAUCACCCUGACCCCACCCCCACCCCUCUUUAAUAGCCCCAGAUAAUUCUCCAGCCUCCGGUUUUACUAUUAACAUAGUCCCAAAUCCAGCAAUCCCCUUAACUUUCUUGGCAAUCAUGGGGAAACCUAACAAUAGCUCGAAGAGGAAGGUCUAGCUCACAGACCAUAUGAACUUAUCGGAGGAAAAAAUGUGGUGAGCUUUAAAGGAAGAACAUGACAAGCUAGCGGGGCCAUCCUGAUAGACUAUUAUCGUGGCUUUUCUUUCAUUACAUGUGAGUGCUCAAUCGGAUUGCCAACAAGUUAUCGUUGGGUUAGCACCGUGCUUGCAAUACAUAGAAGGGAAUGCCACGAGCCCAUCAUCAGGAUGUUGCACUCAGCUGGCCACUAUAGUGAAGACAAGGCAACAGUGCGUGUGUGAGGUUUUUAGUGGAGUUAAUGUCAACCAGACACUGGCUUUGGCUCUUCCUAAAGCUUGUAAUGUCCGGACUCCCUCUGUUAGCCUUUGUAAAGCUACUUCCCCAGUUGCUUCUCCAGUCUCUUCGUCUAAUCCUUCAGGAGACGGAUCGAGAUAUUCGCAAAGUGGGGAUUCAUCAAGAGGAUACUCAUUGAAGCUGCCAUACUCCCUGUUUUUGUCCCUUGUAGCCUCUUUGUCAUAUACCACAAUGUUAAGCACCACCUUAUAAUAAGCAAGCGCUCAAACUCACACAUCACAAAAUAUGCUUCUAAUUUCUGUCACAAAUUUGUCACUAAUAAAAUUCUUGUGACAAUGUCUUUUUCUACCUCAAACUUUCGUGUGUCUACGCAAGGAUAAAUUCAUAAUUACAAAUUCAUUAAAUAUUCAACACGAUCUUAUGAUGUACCUGUCCAUCACAAAUUUGGGCCUUGUUUGUAGAGCCAGUGACACCAUUUCCUUGAAACUAUCUAAGGUGCGUGUGUGAAGUCAGAAUAAUUUGGUUUUGGUUAUCUUGUUAAUUUGUUAGUCAACAUUUGUUUUUUGGCCAAGGCAAAGGUUUGUAUUUACUCUAUUGAAAUUAAUUUUCUCAGAAAUAUUGAACAAAGUUCUUUCUGAUUAUA